GACGAACGCUGGCGGCGUGCUUAACACAUGCAAGUCGAACGGUGAUGGCCAGCUUGCUGGUCUGAUCAGUGGCGAACGGGUGAGUAACACGUGAGCAACCUACCCCAGACUCUGGAAUAACCAUGGGAAACGAUGGCUAAUACCGGAUACGAGACGCACACGCAUGUGUGGUGUCUGGAAAGAUUUAUCGGUCUGGGAUGGGCUCGCGGCCUAUCAGCUUGUUGGUGGGGUAGUGGCCUACCAAGGCGACGACGGGUAGCCGGCCUGAGAGGGCGACCGGCCACACUGGGACUGAGAUACGGCCCAGACUCCUACGGGAGGCAGCAGUGGGGAAUCUUGCACAAUGGGCGCAAGCCUGAUGCAGCGACGCCGCGUGAGGGAUGACGGCCUUCGGGUUGUAAACCUCUUUCAGCAGGGAAGAAGCGAAAGUGACGGUACCUGCAGAAGAAGCGCCGGCUAACUACGUGC
rnacentral:rRNA from 1 species